rnacentral:rRNA from 1 species
UACGUAGGGAGCAAGCGUUGUUCGGAUUUACUGGGCGUAAAGGGCGCGUAGGCGGCGUUGUAAGUCACUUGUGAAAUCUCUGAGCUUAACUCAGAACGGCCAAGUGAUACUGCAGUGCUAGAGUGCGGAAGGGGCAAUCGGAAUUCUUGGUGUAGCGGUGAAAUGCGUAGAUAUCAAGAGGAACACCUGAGGUGAAGACGGGUUGCUGGGCUGACACUGACGCUGACAGCGCGAAAGCUAGGGGAGCAAACGGG